rnacentral:rRNA from 1 species
GGGCCCGCACAAGCGGUGGAGCAUGUGGUUUAAUUCGAUGAUACGCGAGGAACCUUACCAGGGCUUAAAUGUAAGUUGCAUUAGUUAGAGAUAGCUAUUUCUUCGGACCACUUACAAGGUGCUGCAUGGUUGUCGUCAGCUCGUGCCGUGAGGUGUCAGGUUAAGUCCUAUAACGAGCGCAACCCCUGUUGUUAGUUGCCAGCGAGUCAUGUCGGGAACUCUAACAAGACUGCCGGUGCAAACCGUGAGGAAGGUGGGGAUGACGUCAAAUCAUCACGGCCCUUACGUCCUGGGCUACACACGUGCUACAAUGGCCGGUACAGAGAGCAGCCACUACGCGAGUAGGAGCGAAUCUCUAAAGCCGAUCUCAGUUCGGAUUGGAGUCUGCAACUCGACUCUAUGAAGCUGGAAUC